UUCAAAUAAUGUCUAAUAACUCACUCCAAAAUAGGCAAUAACUGUUUUCUUUAUAGUUGACCCCACAUGUUGUCAUGAAAAUUAAUACUAAAUAAAAAAGUAGCCAAAGUUCCUCUUAGUCUUUGCUUUAUAUAAAAAGUUAAAUACUAUGAAUAAUUGCAUUGCAUUGAUAAAGAGUUUCCAUUAAAAGAGAAAGUAUUCCCAAUUAAUCCUUUCCCUGUUAAAGUGUGCUCUCCCCUUGACAAGUAAAAUCAUCUGGCGUUAGACAGAGUAAAAUAAUCUGGCGUUAGACAGAGUAAAAUAAUAAAGUAGGGUGCAUCAGGGCACAAUGCAACUCAAUGGGUUAACUGGAUCGUCUGGUGUUAGACAGUAAAAUAAUAAAGUAGGGUGCAAUGUGACUCAAUGGGUUAACAAGUAAAAUUGUCUAGCUUUACAGUACAUCUUCCAAGGGGGGGCUGGAUUUGG